CUUUAAAGAGACUUUAUUUGUAUAAAGUAUUUUCGGUAUGGUAAACUGAUGCUCUGAAGUAAAGAGAUAUUGAAGAUGUGUUCUAAGCACGUGCGAGAGUAUUCUCCUAGCUGAUCAAAGGCAUAAACCCACGUAUGUCUAAUCGCUGCCGAGAGAGUUCUGAUCUGCCUCCACGAGCUGGAGGCUUCUUAUGGACUCAGCGAGGACCGGAAGACUUGGAGAGGGACCGGUGUGACGUAAUCUUCGGUUUUCCUCGCCUGGUCUGUGGUGCUGCCCUCCGUGGCUAAAGUAUCUAUUGCAGCCUUCAGUAAUGUCCUGCUUUCCCUUGUGGCUAUGUGUAGUAUUUACGGCUUAUAUGUUUGGUCCUACCCCCUAUUGGUUAAGUGAGGGAAAUACAGCUUGUGUUCCUAAAAUACGUAACAGUCCCUCCUUGGUCAUCUCAGAUGACCAUACAAUAAUAUUUUAAAUCAUAAACACCAUUUACCACACCGAAAAACAUAUCCAAAGUAGGAUCAAUCAUCGACACCAUCAACCGUUGUGGGAAGAACUCUUGAAGAGAGGGAAAAAACCACUACGCGCCCAUAAUACUGAGACGGCAUUCACCUUGUGGGUCUCAUUGGAAAUACAGGUCAUUAUUUAACAAUACAACAAUGAACAUAAAUCUUGUUAUCAUACAAUCACAUGGCCAAACAGCACACAAACAAAACUAUCCAUAGAAAUCCUGAGCUAAUACUUUUGGUUAUGUGCAACAAGGUCAUAAAAUAUUCAACAGGUGCAAAAGUAACGUAAAAAUUGGUGGUCAUAAUACAAUUUUAAAAUUUCAAAAUGAUUGAUAAGCUAACAUGGAUUUGGGGGGUUCAGGUGAUCUUCGUGUAUUGGUGCGCCGGUUCAUGUGGGUGGUUUGGGCAUGGAUUUGGGGAUCAUUGUUUUUUCUGUCGCCGUCGGGCCUGUAAUUCAUGAACCAAAGACUCGUCCCUCCUUGUCAAGGGCUCAACUCAGAGAGGUUACUCCUACAUCAUGGGAGCCUCCAAACAGGUUCUCCGUCGUCGUCGUGUCAGUAACAGGUGGCCUGUAAAACAAUCGUCUCAAGGAAGAUCAACAGUACCAUUAUCAAUGCAGCGAUUCAGAAAUAACGGGUUGUACUCGCAACCAAACAAUACUAUAUAAUAACA
ensembl:lncRNA